CUCUGGUUUCCCUCCCUCUCAUCCGAAACACUAAAAUUCUCUGUGUCUCACUUCCUUCCACCAACCUCGAUCCUAUCUCUAGCCAACCUACCUUCCCCUUCACAGGAUAUAAGGAUCCCUCUGUCACACCUUAUUCCAGUGAACAAGGUUCGAACAUGUAGAGAUUUGCAUCAGGUCUCGAUGAAAAGAAAAAAAAAAAUCCUUUGAAAUUUAGACUUCUUGUCCAGCUUCUAACCCCACCAACAUCUUCCUGCUUGAUAUUGAAUGACUAAAAGUUACUUCUGAGUCUGACAUAUGAAAAUAAGAAUCAUUGGCUUGAUAUGUAUUUGUAUUCAAUGACUAGGAACUGUUGUUCAAUGUCAUGAGAAUCCUUAAGCUUAAUUAUUUGUUAGCCAAGGAUGCCUCUGAUAUCUAAGAAAUGAGGGUUGUCGCAUUUCUUUGUGGAUAUAUACACCACAACUCAAUCGUCUUCCAGUAAAAGACAGCAGAGCAUUCAGCCAUGGAGUAUCAUGGAUCAAAGUAAAUAGAUAAACGAAGAAAUUCAUGCUUAUGGCGAUUUCACAAUCUUGCUCAGUCACAUUGUUCUCGGCUGCAAGUUCCUUUGUUCUGCUGUUAACAAGGAAGAAAAAUAUUUAAGAGAAAUGCCUCACUGACACCAGAAUCAAGAAUCCACAAAUUCUUAAAAUUAUUUUAGAAAUAAAUUGGAUAUUACAAUAGGAGAAUCUAUGGAUGAGACAGAUCUUACAAUCUUGCCAUAGUAAGCACAAACUGUUGUAGCAGUGCUAUGAUUAACCUUGGCAGCAACUAUCAUGCCACUACUGGACAACUGUCUUUCUUUUUGAGCAACCAGGGAAAUAACUUUGGGACAUAAGGAAUAGGCUCCAUUAGUAACAUGUGUGAUUUCAAGUUAUUGUAUUGAUCAUUUAGGCCACGAAGAAAUUGCAUUACCUGGUCUUCUCUUUUUCUUUGAUUUAUGGUGUCCGAAACUUUGCAGCUACAUUUGGUUUUACUUACACACAGGGUCUGGUCUAAAAUCAACAUUAUCAUUUCCCAUUCAAAAAAAAUAUGUUUCAUCAUUCUAAUUGGCAUAUAUACUCAACUCAAUGUCAUAACUUAAACAAUAAUCACAGUUUCACUCAUAUGAAUCCAACAUCUCUACACUUUAGUAGCAUAAGCUAACAUUUAGAUAAACAAAUAACUAAAUUUUAAUUCUACGUCUGAUUAAAACCGAUCUUCAAAUAUUUCAACAAAAUAAACACGAAGUUUCAGAUUUUCAAAUUCUUUUUGCCACUCACAUAGUACCAUAACUUAAAGUUGUUCUAGAUUAACUUCCGUCUUGUUUUUCAUAGGAAAUCUUCUUCUUGAAAAGACAACAAGCUGGAGUAAUUAGAGAUUCUCUUUGUUACUUUUAGGAAGUCAACCCUAACAAGGGUUCAUAUUUUCUCAAAAGUUACAUGCAGACUCUAGAAGAACGUUAAAUAAAGCACACAAGACAUUUUUGCAAUGGAGAUUAGAUGGCCAAACAUAAAGCAUGUAGUGAGGAAGAACAAUACAAAACAUUUAUAUUAGUUCACUUAAAUUCUAAACUACAUCCAAUUCUAUUUCAUGCACUCUUAAAGCACUCCACUGGUUGAAAACUUUCAUUACAACAAGUACACUAACCUUACCGAGGAUCCCUCUGUAUAUA